CCGGACCCAGAACUGGAACUUGCCUUUCUCCCCCCCGCCGGAGCCGCCGCCUGAGCCGGUUCCCCCCUGCAGCACCUCGGCGAUGCGCUGCUCGCUGUGGACUCUGGCUGGGACAGAACAUCUGUCUGUUGCUAUGGCUGCAGUACACUUGAAGGGGAUGACUGGAUAAUUAUUGCAAACAUCCAUCCUGCCUGAUGUGCUCCCGGACCCUCCCUGCCCCAGCCCGGGCAGUGGCCGCUGCUCAGGCCCAACUUCACUCGCAGGGACCCUACCGAGGGAUGGCGCGUUGGCAUCACCUUUUCAUUUGCAUAAUUAAUGAGGCCGAGCCUGCAGGGCUCCUGGGAAAUCCGACGCAGAGCAGCAGAGAUGAAAUGGCACGGAGGGCUCCAGCCUUCUCGAGGCUCGUUAGAGCCCAGCUCGCUGCUGACGCCCCGCUUUGGAGCUACCAGGGAGUCGUUCUUCCAUUGCCUUUAAUUUACCACCCACUUCUAUCCGAACAGAUUGCUCUGGGCUGAUCCUGCCAUGCCUCCUCCAGGCACAGGAUCCCACCUGGCUGCUGCUGAGCAGGACCCCACCAACUCAGCACGAACCAGGGUGCACCCCCAGGGCUGUCACACGAUCAGGGACUUGGGAAAUAGCAAGGUCCCAGGUCCCGGCGUGGACCCGAGGCAUCCCCUGGUUCUCUCUCUUAAGUAGGCUGCUGCUGCUGCCAGCACUGCUGCCUCUGCUCCCUUCCUGCACUCCCUGCCUCCUCUCCCUUCCUGCUCUCCCUGCCUGCAGCUCCCUGCCUGCAGCUCCCUGCCUGGUCUCUCUGCCUAAUCUCCCUGCUUGCUCUGCUGCUGUCUGCAGCUCAGUGACUUGCCCAGCUGUGCCCACUGCUCACCCUGCAGCACCUGGGCACUGUCCUGUGUGGCUGCAGUGCCAGUGCUGGAUCCCCAGCCUCUGGCAGAGCCCGGCUGUCUGGUGAUCCAGACAGGAUCCCUGGCCUCUGGUGGAGCCCAUUGCCAGUCAGUACCUGGUGAUCCACCCAGGAUCCCUGGCCUCACCUUGCAUGCGCUGGAAUAUGACAUGCCCUAGCCCCAUUCCUCCCAGCAACUCCUGCUGCUGCUCCUAGGAGUCAGCCUGCCCCGAAAACACCCAUGGCCCCUUUGUUUCUGGGGUUGCUGUUGUUCUUUUGCCUGCUGGCAUUUAACCCUGCCCUGGAUCUCAUUCUGGGGGUGUUCAAAAAUCCAGAUCCUGCCCUGUGUGCCCUGUGGACUGACCCUGUUUCUGCAAGUCCCACCUCUGAAUUAACAGACCAAAAGAUAACACAGGAGUUCCCCUUCUGAGCAGCCACUGCUGUUCUGUUUAACUAGGAACUUCAAUGCAGCCAUUGUACAUUUUUUUCUGUUUAUCAACACGUGGUGGGUAGGAAGCCCAAGUGGAGCUGGGAGCACGGUGAGUGCAGACCCACAGCUACUGGCCAGCAAACAUCACUGCAGCUGGGACCCUCUCUCUGGACCCUCUCCUGGACCCUGUUCACUCCACAAGAAUCUAAGUAGGCUAUGUAGGACAAGGCUGCCUCUUGCUUUUCCCAUUAUCUAUAACAUCAACAAUAAAUAAUAAUAUUUUCAUA